CCAGCGGCUGUUUUUACAGCCACAGCACUUUCUAGCCAGUGGACU
rfam:Algoriphagus sp. PR1 chromosome, whole genome shotgun sequence.